GGUGGAAAGGCUAAAGUUCAAGUUCACAGACCCAAAAGUAAGUUACAGAAGUGAUUGCUUGUUUGAGCAUUUGCUCGCUUGCUCUUGCCUUUCAUUCUCCUUGAUCUAAGUGCAGUGUAUUGUUAAUGCCUGUCUGAACGUUGCAUUAAGCUUUAAUUAAGUCUGCCAAUCAAAAAACAAACGUAGAAAGUAGGCUUCUAAUGUUACUGGUUGCAAGUUGGAUCUUCCCCCUCAGUUUUCUGACUGUGAACAUAAAGCUGGUUUUUGAAGACCUGAGUGCUCCUGAUGAUUCUGGAAACCCACCGGGGCUAUUUUGUGUAUCACUGAUAGGGUGCUCACAUCUCCUAAUACUCUGAGAAAAAGGGGGCACUGAAGAACUAUGUGAUCAGCUGAGGAUCAUUGAUGAGGUAUUACGUUGCAGAUCCUCAAGCCAAUUUUCCCAUAAUGGGUGGGAAUAACAAACCCAUGAGGCGCUACAGCUGCCAUGCUGGUAUGCCUGCACAACAAGGCAGAGGAGUGACUUUGACACAGGCGGCUGACCUGGCUAGCCAAAAUGGAAAUGUAACACAAGAGGUGUGAACAUGGGCUGACAACCAAGAAAAAAUGUCUACUCAGUCUCCUUCUGGUAAUGAACAUCAGAACAGUGUCUGAGCCAUGCACAACUGCAGCAAGAGAAGCAGCUGAUGUUUCCUCCUGUUACUUCACUUUGACAUCUCUUCAGUUUGCCUUGAUAAUGUGCUUUUUAUUUACACAUACACACACACUUUUUCUUCAAGAAUUCUAUGCUUGUCACACCUAAUGAUUUAUUCACUUGUCAACCUUUUUUUUAGGUUGACAAAUAUCCUUUAGAGAUAAGGCCUUUGAAAAUAUGGUGCCAGUAAUUAAAAUGAAGAAUGUGUUACAGUAAAAAGUAGAAACAUGGGUCUAAAAGCUACACUGGUAUUUGUAGUGAUUUGAGUAAUUGAGGAUUUCAGUUUAAUAAUUCAGUGCAGCUGAGAUUAAUAAAUGGUAUGAGGUAAAAGUGGUCUUGCA
rnacentral:lncRNA from 14 species